rnacentral:rRNA from 1 species
CAUAAGNGCAUCACUGAGUUUUUAAAGAAUUUCGGUGGAGGAUGANUUCGCGGNNNAUCAGCUAGUUGGUGAGGUAAUGGCUCACCAAGGCAACGACGGGUAGCCGGCNNGAGAGGGCGACCGGCCACACUGGGACUGAGACACGGCCCAGACUCNUACGGGAGGCAGCAGUGGGGAAUAUUGGGCAAUGGAGGAAACUCUGACCCAGCGACGCCGCGUGCGGGAUGAAGGCCUUCGGGUUGUAAACCGCUUUCAGUAGGGAAGAAGCGAAAGUGACGGUACCUACAAAAGAAGCACCGGCUAACUAUGUGCCAGCAGCCGCGGUAAUACAUAGGGUGCAAGCGUUGUCCGGAAUUAUUGGGCGUAAAGAGCUCGUAGGUCGUUUGCCACGUCGGAUGUGAAAACCUGAGGCUCAACCUCAGGCCUGCAUUCGAUACGAGCAAACUAGAGUUUGGUAGGGGAGACUGGAAUUCCUGGUGUAGCGGUGGAAUGCGCAGAUAUCAGGAGGAACACCAACGGCGAAGGCAGGUCUCUGGGCCAAUACUGACACUGAGGAGCGAAAGUCUGGGGAGCGAACAGGAUUAGAUACCCUGGUAGUCCAGACCGUAAACGGUGGGCACUAGUUGUGGGAACCUUCCGCGGUUUCUGCGACGCAGCUAACGCAUUAAGUGCCCCGCCUGGGGAGUACGAUCGCAAGAUUAAAACUCAAAGGAAUUGACGGGGCCCCGCACAAGCAGCGGAGCAUGCGGCUCAAUUCGACGCAACGCGAAGAACCUUACCAAGGCUUGACAUAUAGGGAAAAGUGGCAGAGAUGCCAUGUCCGCAAGGGCCCUAUACAGGUGGUGCAUGGUUGUCGUCAGCUCGUGUCGUGAGAUGUUGGGUUAAGUCCCGCAACGAGCGCAACCCUCGUUCUGUGUUGCCAGCAUUUAGUUGGGGACUCACAGGAGACUGCCGGGGUUAACUCGGAGGAAGGU